AUUGAACGCUGGCGGCAGGCCUAACACAUGCAAGUCGAACGAGUGGCGGACGGGUGAGUAAUGUCUGGGAAACUGCCCGAUGGAGGGGGAUAACUACUGGAAACGGUAGCUAAUACCGCAUACCAUCGGAUGUGCCCAGAUGGGAUUAGCUAGUAGGUGGGGUAAGGGCUCACCUGGGCGACGAUCCCUAGAUGGUCUGAGAGGAUGACCAUCCACACUGGAACGGAGACACGUUCCAGCCUCCUACGGAAGGCAGCAGUGGGGAAUAUUGCACAAUGGGCGCAAGCCUGAUGCAGCCAUGCGGCGUGUAUGAAGAAGGCCUUCGGGUUGUAAAGUACUUUCAGCGAGGAGGCGUUACUCGCAGAAGAAGCACCGGCUAACUCCGUGCCAGCAGCCGCGGUAAUAC
rnacentral:rRNA from 1 species